rnacentral:rRNA from 1 species
CUACGGGAGGCAGCAGUAGGGAAUCUUCCACAAUGGACGCAAGUCUGAUGGAGCAACGCCGCGUGGAUGAAGAAGGUCUUCGGAUCGUAAAAUCCUGUUGUUGAAGAAGAACGGUUGUGAGAGUAACUGCUCAUAACGUGACGGUAAUCAACCAGAAAGUCACGGCUAACUACGUGCCAGCAGCCGCGGUAAUACGUAGGUGGCAAGCGUUGUCCGGAUUUAUUGGGCGUAAAGGGAGCGCAGGCGGUCUUUUAAGUCUGAAUGUGAAAGCCCUCAGCUUAACUGAGGAAGAGCAUCGGAAACUGAAAGACUUGAGUGCAGAAGAGGAGAGUGGAACUCCAUGUGUAGCGGUGAAAUGCGUAGAUAUAUGGAAGAACACCAGUGGCGAAGGCGGCUCUCUGGUCUGUUACUGACGCUGAGGCUCGAAAGCAUGGGUAGCGAACAGGAUUAGAUACCCUGGUAGUCCAUGCCGUAAACGAUGAGUGCUAAGUGUUGGGAGGUUUCCGCCUCUCAGUGCUGCAGCUAACGCAUUAAGCACUCCNCCUGGGGAGUACGACCGCAAGGUUGAAACUCAAAGGAAUUGACGGGGGCCCNCACAAGCGGUG